GACGAACGCUGGCGGCGUGCUUAACACAUGCAAGUCGAACGGAAAGGCCCUGCUUUUGUGGGGUGCUCGAGUGGCGAACGGGUGAGUAACACGUGAGUAACCUGCCCUUGACUUUGGGAUAACUUCAGGAAACUGGGGCUAAUACCGGAUAGGAGCUCCUGCUGCAUGGUGGGGGUUGGAAAGUUUCGGUGGUUGGGGAUGGACUCGCGGCUUAUCAGCUUGUUGGUGGGGUAGUGGCUUACCAAGGCUUUGACGGGUAGCCGGCCUGAGAGGGUGACCGGCCACAUUGGGACUGAGAUACGGCCCAGACUCCUACGGGAGGCAGCAGUGGGGAAUAUUGCACAAUGGGCGGAAGCCUGAUGCAGCAACGCCGCGUGCGGGAUGACGGCCUUCGGGUUGUAAACCGCUUUCGCCUGUGACGAAGAGUGAGUGACGGUAAUGGGUAAAGAAGCACCGGCUAACUACGUG
rnacentral:rRNA from 1 species